UACGUAGGGACCAAGCGUUGUUCGGAUUUACUGGGCGUAAAGGGCGCGUAGGCGGCGUGACAAGUCACUUGUGAAAUCUCCGGGCUUAACUCGGAACGGUCAAGUGAUACUGUCGUGCUAGAGUGCAGAAGGGGCAAUCGGAAUUCUUGGUGUAGCGGUGAAAUGCGUAGAUAUCAAGAGGAACACCGGUGGCGAAGGCGGCUACCUGGACACCAACUGACGCUGAGACGCGAAAGCGUGGGGAGCAAACAGG
rnacentral:rRNA from 1 species